CACACCCACCCACCCCACCCGCUCUCAGAUUGUGGUUGUGACAUUUCUGCAUAGAGAUCCCAGUGACUCAGUCCAAGGCACUGACCAGAUGGACCAUCGUGUAUCACAGUGCCAUACGUGUUCACAGGCUUGUGGGAACCAUCAACCAGCUUUUGUUACAUUAAUAUAAUGGAGAUUUUAUCAACUUUUGUUUGUCUAUAUAUCAUCAAUGUAAAUACAUGUUCAGUUGCUAUUGUGAAUGGCUGCUUAAUUCCUACAACAAUCUCAUUAACGCCAGAUCUUUCACUCUGAUUUGAUAGCCCUCUCCAUAAAGAUCUGACGAACACUGCAUAGCAGGUGUUAUCAGGUCACUGCAUGGCAGGUAUUAUCAGGUCACUGCAUGGCAGGUAUUAUCAGGUCACUGCAUGGCAGGUAUUAUCAUGUGAACUUUCUGAUCAGCCAAUCAUCGUGGAGGAUUAAUUGUCCGUACAAGUCAGCAAAGUAUAACAAGCAGCAUAUCUGAUUUCUGUAUACUGAAAAAUGAACAGGCAGCUCCGAAUGGGAAUAAUAGUGGUUGCACAAUGUUGUGGAUAAUUAACACCCUGUCCUUUCUUACAGUCAGUGACCUCAGAAUUUCCCCAGGUGUGCUUUCAUUUCUCCUACAACAAACUGUAGUAAAACUGACCCCUUAAGUGAUCCUCCAGUUUGACAAAGCUGAGUUGUUUUAGAAAGCUGACAUCGGAGUAGCCCAAAAGCACACAAAUCCUUCACUUUCAAAUUUUUCUCAUUGUCAGAUUCUGACAGAGAAAGGUAUCAACUUGAGGGGUAUCAAAUAGGUGUAAAAGAUCUGAUUUUAAUUGAGAUUGUUUUUAUCGACAUGUUGCCAACACCAUGGGCGCACAAGGUGAGAUUUGUUCCCCAGUAGCCUGUGGUCGGGCUCAGUGACUGGGUUGAUGUUGUGUCAUUGUACCCUGACAGAUCUGGACAUUACUUGUAAUACUACAGGUUUGUCUUGGCAAUAUUAUCUUAAAGGUUGCCAUGCUGGAAUAUUGCUGACUGCAGCAUUAAACAACAAACAAAUGAUUGCAGACAUGCAGUUAAAUUCAAGUAUCUACUAAUGCCGUGGCACUAGAUUUUUAAGGUUCUAGUAUUUUGCAAUUCAAUUUCUCUACUUUUUGAGUACGACUUGAGUUUAUGGCGACUCCAUCAUGGUGAAGCUGUUGCUCAAGCAUGUCUCUGUGUCGCUUUAUGUCUCUUGUAAUCUCAUAUUGCUGUAGUAAUUACUGUAGUACAAUCAUACCCCUUGUACUCUAGUUUACUAUCAUUUUAUUAAUCUAUUUAAAAUCAGAUUUUUUACCUCUGAGGGAGGUGUCUAAUUUGUACAAAAGAUCUGAUUUUAAUGAGAUCGUCCUUUUACAGAAGUGAUAGUGUAUCACCCACAUUUGUUUAGUGUCAUGUAUAUUAUAUACUUAGACUUCCUAAUAAGGCAAUUAAAAUGCAUGAAUUGAAUGUUAAGUUGAAUUCAUCUCACUUUGUUUUCACUUGUAAGGCUAUUAUUCUGUAAUAUUUCAAAAUCCUAAAGAAUCUGAGUCCAGUAUUAUGAUUAUGGCAAAUGUUUUCAUCAUAUGCAUGGUAAGGGUUGGCCAAAUUUGGUCUUACACUUCUAGCUGUAAAUCUGCUUGGGGAUUUUGUUCUCAUUUAGAGAGAACUACAUUUUAACUCACCUGACUUAAGCCACUGGAACGAUGAAACUAAAACUUCACAUUCUUGUUCCCACCAAUGAUGACACCCCAGUUUGUUCAAAAUGUUCAAAGUCUCCAAGGCAGCCAUAUUGAAAAAAACCCUUUAUGGCCAUUUCUUACAAAAUUACUGAAAUUUGGUACAUGUUUAGUUUGUAGUGGGUCUCAGCAUACAUAAUGUGUGCUGUUUUUUGUGAUGUUUUAAAUUUUGACCUUGAUUUGACCUUGGUACUUCAAACAUACUGAAAGCUGAAACUUCCUAUGGUCUGAAAUUUGGUAUGUGUGUAGUUGGUAGUGGGCUCAACACAUGUGUUCCAUCUUACGCUAAAUCUUAUUUUGAUCUUGGUUUGACCUUUGCACUUUUAAAAUAUGCCCUUCAUACAUUAUCUCAAAAUGCAUUUUCUCACACUGUAACCAUUACAUGCUUGUUCCCACCAUUGAUUCACCACUGAAGUUGUUCAACAGGCUCUAGUCUGAAUUUCAAUAUGGCCACCACAACAGUUAUAUUGGAAAAAAAAGUAUUGAUGGCCACUGCUCAGCAAUUUCUGCCCCAAAUAUAAUGUAAUGCUCUGAAAUUAUCUCAAAAUGCAUUUUCUCUGUAAACAUCUGUGACAUUGCCAGACUGAGGAAGCUGAACUCUGGUAUGUAUGGUUCCCCUCAUGACAUUAUAUCGUUUUCAAUCAUUAAGAUUUAAAUGUUUUUUUGGUGAAACAGUUCUGUGGCAUUAGAAAAUUAUUAUCCUUGAAAGGUUUAUGAGGCUCGGAGAUGAAACUUUUGUGUAUUGUAACAAUGUUCUACAAUAGUACAUUUAUUCUUGCAGACUUAGAAAAAUAGUGACUUGUUAGUUACUUGUUCACACUUUUGUCUUCAGUAUUGAUGCAGAAAGUACUUAAGUAGCAAUACUGGCAGCAACUGUUCUUAAAUGGCAGUCUGUUGUCAUGUUAGACUGUGGACUACUUAUUCAGGUGAGCUACUGUGCUACAUACUACUGUUUGGACAUCUGACACAGUAUAUGAAACUUAGAAUAUGUAUAAAAUUUAAAUACAAAUACAUGAAUGUAAUAUGAUUGUUCUGGAUGAAAAGGCAUUUUACAGUUGAACAGUGAUUUUUAUUUUGACUAGCGUACAUACCGGUAUACUAAUGUGGAUGUGUGUCUUAUGUUGAUUGCAUUAUAGUCUGAAAUGAGCUGGCUGUUCCACAAUCUGUCUGUGUAGUUACUAGCUGGCUUAGUUAUCUGUAGAAAUAUGUCUUGGCAUAAACACUCACAGAACAUCUUACGAGUAUGAAGCCUUCUUUGUUUUAGUAGUUGGUUCACAAAAGAUUGGCCCAAAAUUCAGUGUAGGUAGGGGAAAAUAAUUGACAAAAUACCCUCCCUAAUAAAGAACAAGAUUAAACUUGGCAGAACAUUGAGUUUAUGGUUUGACACUAGUUUCAGCAGUUUCCGUCCUGUUGGUACACCAGGGAACAUCAAUCAGUGUGUCCAUCAGGGUAUUCAUACAGGAUACUCACAGGUAGUUAAAGGAGGCAUCAGUUUCUAAAUGGGUGGUAUUCGUUGUGCAAACAGCUGUAACUUACAUUAGUUUCAUGUUCCUGGGACAACACAUUUAAUUGUGAAUUUUGACCCAUUCAAAACAUUUAAAAAAUAAUUUCAAAUUUUUCUAACUUCAAUUAAUUUGCUGGUUUUGUGAACCAACUAAUGAAAAAUUAGAAUGCCUAAAAAUAAGACUGUCAGUUCACAGGCACUGAGAAAUCUGUGACAAGCACCUGAAGGCGGAUGCCUCUUGGUUUCCUGUGUGUCUACGGCAUCAGAUUUAGCCUGAUACCCCAUCUUUAGUGGGUUGUGUACUUUCCAAAAGAAGCAAUUCAAGUGUAUAGAAACCCGAGAUCCUCCUCCAGUUUAUUUCACAAAUGGGCAUAAUUCCACACACAUAAUGUCUGUAAAUACUUUGAACUACAUUUUGUUGUUCAACCAGUAAAAGUCUGUGCCAAAAAUGUCAAAUGUUCAAACAUGUCUAUGGACAUCACAUUCAGAAGGUUUUAGUACCAAUCUAUAGGCUAAACCAGAGCUUACCAGACCGAACAUGGUUUUACUAGAUUUGGGCAUUAGGGUAGUGGCUGAAGUCACAGUUAGUACUACUACAAUUAAUGACAUCUUUCUGAUUGACUAAGAAGACUAAGGAAGUAUUUCCCUUGUCACUAUGUCUUCACGAUAGGUCAGCCCAAACAUUGGUUGGCUUUGUAUUUUUGAUCAACAAAUAAAAUUAAGAAGCCAUGUUAAGCAAUAAGUUUUCUUUGUGCCAGGCUAAAAUGGUUUUUUGAAUAUAAAUAAUUAAUUAUGUACAAGGUAAGCAAUUUCCAAGGUAACUGUAGAGCUUUGAGUUUGAUGUUAUUUAUUUUUAUGUGACAACUAUGUGUACAGCAGGGAGGUGUUGUGUGUGUGUGACCAGUACGAACACACCAUGUUGGACACGCCGGGUCCAUAGACCACAAGAAACUCAGUUUCUUAGUCAUCUUUGUUAUGUGUUACUUUUACACUGUUGUAACUGUACCUACUGCAAUUAAAUGUUCACCAUCGUC